GCUUUGGAAGCAGGAGAUGCUCAGUGGCUCUGCCCCAGGAAAGUCUCCUGGAAAGGGCACCUCUGCUUAUGCUCAGUACAGGGAGAACAUUAGCAGGCUGGCAAAGUCUGCUCCCCAUGACAUCAGCUGUCCCUUCUAUGACAUUCUAUUGUCUCCUAGAGAGUUCUUGGCAUCCUCUGUGAUGUCACCAGUGUUGUAGUGACAACCAGUGCCCUAGUUUCUCUCAGUCUGAGUCUGGCGGUUACACCCUAAGACAUGUUUUCCCGUCUUCGCAAGAGUUUUGGGAGGGGGAACAUCGAUUGUGGAGAGACUAGAGUGAAGGAGUCUGGCCUUUCGUCUCAAAGUAAUGAUGGACAAAGACAGCACUUCUGGGGAAUGUGGAAGGCUGGGAGAGAAACACCAUCCCCUGGAACUGAGCUAAGCAAGAAGCAGGCCGAGAAGGAAAAUAAGAGGUGGAUUUAAGAGCUGCAGCUCAUUACAGAGGAGCGAAACGACCUGAGAGAUCGCCUGAGGUUUCUGACAGAGAGAUCCAUGAAGAACAGGUAUGAAUCGCUCCAAACGCUCUUGUUCCAUUCCUGGGUGUUCAAUGUCACCUUCAUCUUAUCCUUUUAAGGUUUUGGGUUCUAGAAAGCUGUGUCUCUGUAACGACCCUUUUUUAAACCUCACCUCCCAUAUAGAGGAGAUUCAGAACCUGACCCUUCCUGAGGAGCAAGAUGGAAAAUGGACUCAUCUGCUUCCAUUUAUUGAAAAGCAGGAUUUGUGGUCUGAAUGAAGAAUUCGGGGAUAAAGUCAGGGAGAGUGAGUGCCCAGUGUGUAUUUGCAAAGCCCUUGACAGCUGGUGGCUUUGCAAGAUUGUAAUUGCAGUGAGUUUAUGGUGAGUCUCUGUACGUGCUAGGCAGGGGACUGAGUGCUGGAAGAUCCACACAGCAGCCUGAGGGGCCUGGUCCCAAACUGUUCAUCUCAAUGCUUGACUAGAAGGUCUCAGGCUCAGGCCUGUUUGUUCUUGUCUGUGUGUCUUGCCCUCUGAGACAGCAAUGGUGCAUGCAUUUCUCCUGGUUCUCACAGUGCUCU
rnacentral:sRNA from 1 species